rnacentral:rRNA from 1 species
UACGUAGGGGGCAAGCGUUGUCCGGAAUCAUUGGGCGUAAAGAGCGUGUAGGCGGCCCGAUAAGUCCGCUGUGAAAGUCCAGGGCUCAACCCUGGGAUGCCGGUGGAUACUGUCGGGCUCGAGUCCGGAAGAGGAGUGUGGAAUUCCUGGUGUAGCGGUGAAAUGCGCAGAUAUCAGGAGGAACACCGAUGGCGAAGGCAGGUCUCUGGGCCAUAACUGACGCUGAGAAGCGAAAGCGUGGGGAGCGAACAGG